GCCACGUCACUGCUCUAUAAAAAGCUUCCUGGAAAAAGUAUUAACAGAUGGCCUCUUACUCCCUGAGACUGUUAGUAGCACACCAGAUGGCAAUCCAAAUGAGAAGAUUCAACUUAAAUUCUCCAAUCUGAAGGAAAUGUGACACUAGCUUUUUAAUAGGUGUGCAGCAUUAGAGGUAGCAAAGAAAUGAUCAGUUAAGAUAAAAACUCAUUUAUUCUCCUCAUUUCAGCAUGGAAUACAAUCUUCCUUGACUCACCAGUUUGCCAGGUCAUUCUGAUAAAAUGCUGGAAAUUGUUUGCCCAACACAAACAGAAAGUUUAUUUGAAAAGACUGACAGAUUUA
rnacentral:lncRNA from 1 species